UACGAAGGGGGCUAGCGUUGCUCGGAAUCACUGGGCUUAAAGCGCGUGUAGGCGGAUUGUUAAGUCAGGGGUGAAAUCCUGGAGCUCAACUCCAGAACUGCCUUUGAUACUGGCGAUCUCGAGUCCGGGAGAGGUGAGUGGAACUGCGAGUGUAGAGGUGAAAUUCGUAGAUAUUCGCAAGAACACCAGUGGCGAAGGCGGCUCACUGGCCCGGUACUGACGCUGAGGUGCGAAAGCGUGGGGAGCAAACAGG
rnacentral:rRNA from 1 species